UAGCCCUUUAAGCCGAGGGUUAACUAGCCAACAGACGUUGUUAGUGGAGUUUUUUUUGUUCACAUGUUAAGCCAAUUACACGCUUGUAAUUGGCUUUUUUUUG
rnacentral:sRNA from 1 species